GAAGACUGAGUGGAGCUGUGAUAAACUGUAUGCAAGGAUAUAAAUGGUUGUUGCAAAGAGGAAGGGAACAAGCUAAUUCCCACAUGCAAGGGAGAUAGGGAAAAAAAUUAUGUGUUCGAGUUGGAGCAUCAAAUCCUGUGGGAAGAAAGAUUAAAGACAUGUUUUUGAGACAACAUGUUCACUGAGGGAAGUCGAGUGCAGGGCAAGAUUGCCUAAAGCAACUGUGGAGUCUCUGCAUGGAGAUCUUUAAAGAGAGGUAAGCAAAACCUCUGUCUGGAGUGAAAUGGGAAUGCUUUAUCCUGCCUCACGGUUCCUGACAGGUCUAUUUUUGUUACAGUCCCUUAUCCCCGGGGGAGCUGUGUAUACGUCUAGCUGGAGAUCAGUGACCCUAUCUGACAGCAGUUCCUUGGGAAAUGCACAGCAUGGUGUGAAUGAAGUAAAACAAUGGUCUAGCAAAUGGAAUUGUGACAAAUGGUGAUCCUACAGGUUCCUGCUGUGGCUCCUAUUUUGGGACUGGGAACUGUGGUGACUAUUAAAAAAAAAAGAAAAAAAGGGAGAUUUAUCUGGAGACAAAUAGGUGCAGCUGUGGAAAGCAACCAUCCUAAGAGAGCACCUUAAAUCACCUGGCACUCUGAGACCAGGAUAGCUGAAGUGGUGGCUGAUCCCAUGUGCCAGAGCUGCCCUGCCCUGCGUCAGCAGACAGGAGACUGAGCUGCUCCAGCGCAGACAUUGAAAGCGCAAACCACAUAUGUAACUGUUAUCAUGGAAAAUAUAUAUUCCCAUUGGCUCCACUGUCAGAUACUCUGAAGCCAUGGAAAAUGCCACAAAAGAUAAGUCAUGCAGUUCUUUGUUCAUUCCACUUGUUUGAAUUGUUCCCUGCUCUGCAAGUCCUUUAUCAGCACCAUUUGUACAAAGGCAUCAGUCUGCUUCUGAUAAGUAUUGCUGAUAUCAUUACUGCUGAAUCACUGCUAGGGACAUUUAUUUCUGAUCAAUGAACAAUAGGCCAUAGGCAACAUGUAAUCAGGGAUUUAUCCACUUAUCUAUUAAGAUACUUUGUUAAAUUUUGGGGUCCCGUUGCCUGUUUGUAUUUGAAUCACAGUUCCACUUGGCCAUAAAAGCACAAGAGUUUGGAGAGGUGGAGUACUCUUUAUCCUGCUGCCUCGAACACAGGAGGUUAGAGGACUCAGCUUAGCCAUCUGGGAAGACUCUAGUCUACCCUUUCAGGCUUGGCACCACUUGCAGUGGAGAACUAAGCAGCAGAAGAAAUCCUGGGAUCGCUAUUCAUUCUAACAAUAUUUAAUUUUCCUAGCACAAAAUGCUGAUUCGGGGGAAUUUCAUUGCAUACCUGAGAGCAGAAAUACUUUUUUGUUGCUUGAAAGAUAGAAUAGUGAACAAAAAUUAUUUACUCAGCCUCAGAGGGGAGAAGAGGAAGUAGAUCAGAUCUUGUGUUUGUCAAGGCAGAAUUAAAGAGAAAGCCAGUCUCUCUGUGAUGGAUGUGAUGUUAUCUCAAAUAAACCAAAGUCAAAGGCACA
rnacentral:lncRNA from 1 species